UACGGAGGGUGCAAGCGUUGUUCGGAAUUAUUGGGCGUAAAGCGCGUGUAGGCGGCUAUUUAAGUCUGAUGUGAAAGCCCGGGGCUCAACCUCGGAAGUGCAUUGGAAACUGGAUAGCUUGAGUAUUGGAGAGGCAAGUGGAAUUCCUAGUGUAGCGGUGAAAUGCGUAGAUAUUAGGAGGAACACCGGUGGCGAAGGCGGCUACCUGGACCGAUACUGACGCUGAGACGCGAAAGCGUGGGGAGCAAAC
rnacentral:rRNA from 2 species